CCUACGGGAGGCAGCAGUGAGGAAUAUUGGUCAAUGGGAGAGAUCCUGAACCAGCCAAGCCGCGUGAGGGAAGACGGCCCUAUGGGUUGUAAACCUCUUUUGUCGGAGAACAAAACCCGGGACGUGUCCCGUACUGCGUGUAUCCUAUGAAUAAGCAUCGGCUAACUCCGUGCCAGCAGCCGCGGUAAUACGGAGGAUGCGAGCGUUAUCCGGAUUUAUUGGGUUUAAAGGGUGCGUAGGCGGUCCGUUAAGUCAGCGGUAAAAUUGGGGGGCUCAACCCCGUCGAGCCGUUGAAACUGGCAGACUUGAGUGGGCGAGAAGUACGCGGAAUGCGCGGUGUAGCGGUGAAAUGCAUAGAUAUCGCGCAGAACUCCGAUUGCGAAGGCAGCGUACCGGCGCCAGACUGACGCUGAGGCACGAAAGCGUGGGGAUCGAACAGGAUUAGAUACCCGAGUAGUC
rnacentral:rRNA from 1 species